UACGGAGGGUGCGAACGUUUAAUCGGAAUCACUGGGCGUAAAGCGCGCGUAGGCGGUUUGUUAAGUGGGAUGUGAAAUCCCCGGGCUUAACCUGGGAAUUGCAUUUCAAACUGGCCGACUAGAGUACGGUAGAGGGAGGUAGAAUUUCCUGUGUAGCGGUGGAAUGCGUAGAUAUAGGAAGGAAUACCAGUGGCGAAGGCGGCCUCCUGGAUCGAUACUGACGCUGAGGCGCGAAAGCGUGGGGAGCAAACAGG
rnacentral:rRNA from 1 species